rnacentral:rRNA from 1 species
UCCUACGGGACGCAGCAGUGAGGAAUAUUGGUCAAUGGGCGAGAGCCUGAACCAGCCAAGUCGCGUGAGGGAAGACGGUCCUAUGGAUUGUAAACCUCUUUUGCCGGGGAGCAAAAAGCGGUACGUGUACCGCAUCGAGAGUACCCGGAGAAAAAGCAUCGGCUAACUCCGUGCCAGCAGCCGCGGUAAUACGGAGGAUGCGAGCGUUAUCCGGAUUUAUUGGGUUUAAAGGGUGCGCAGGCGGCGAGUUAAGUCAGCGGUAAAAUUUCGGGGCUCAACCCCCACGAGCCGUUCAAACUGGCUUG